AGAUUCAUAUAAUUAAGCCCAAGGAGAGGUCACUAAACUUUUUUGGUGUCUCUCCCUGGGAAGUAACAUGUGUCAUGCAGUUUGGAGAUGUGUAUCGCUACGUCUGACAUGCCAGGUGCUGUUUGAGUACAUUUGACGUCUCUGAGCAUUUUGGGGAGAUUUUGGUGAAUGGGAUAUUUUAUCUGAGUGGAUUUUGUGAGCCAUGGUACAAAGUCUGUAGGGCUUUGUGUCCUUGUAGACCUGGGUGUGCAUUUUCUGAGCUUUUGGGCAUUAGAGUCACUGGGUGUUAGACCCUAAUGUAGAAGUCUGAACCCCAGAGUGUGAGGCCUCUGAACUGUUGUGAUUCUGGGUCCCAAGGUGUGAUGCCUCUGAGCUGCUUUAGGAAGGGGUUUGUCUAAAGGUGUAAAGUAUCUGAGCUGUUUGGGGUCUGUGUGUCAGUAGUAAAAUCUCUUACCAUUUUGGCUGUGAGGUCUCUGUCCAGGAACUGAGGGAGUUGGAAACCCGGCAGAUAUGAUUCCGAAGCCUGGAACCCGACGUGCUGAUGGUGUGUUUUUGAGGGUGUCACUUGUCUCCUGGAGUCUCAGUAAUCAGGGAAAGUCUCCCUGAAGGAUGACGAAUGAGCAGAGACCUGGAGGAAGUGAGGGAGCACGCCAUGGGAUUACCUGAAGGAAGAGCAUUCCAGGCAGAAGGAACAGCAGGUGCCACGGUCCUGGCAGGGCCGUUUACUUGGCGUGCUCCUGGAUAUCAAGGAGUCCUGUGUUGCACUGGGUUUGGCACGUCGCACUCAUUGAAAGGCCUGGGGCAAAAGGAUGCGAACCUUACAAAAGGUGGACUCUGGGUCGGCCAAAAAAUGUUGAAAGUUUGACUUGCUCUCUCCUACAAGCGGAAGAAAGCAAAUACAAUCAGGUUCUGGGCUGGAGAAAGCUUCAGAUAAACUAGAGGCAAGAAGGGGAAAAAGCUCUGCAGGCUUUUCUUCAACUUGGCGGCUGCUGCUGCUGCUGCAGCCCCAGCCCCUCCCGGCACUCGCGCCCGAGCUCCCCGGCCGCUGUGCGGUACCCUGCCCAGGCCAUGUGGGAUCUCAAAGGUCAUCUCCUCUCACCACCUCCACCCACUGGCCAUGAAGAGAAUGGAUCUGAGAUAAACUGAAGCCUCAGAGAGACAGGCCAGUGGGGUGGUGAUGUCUUCUCAGAAGAUCCACUGCCCUGCCCUUGGUUUGACUCUCACGCUGUGUCCUUUGCCUUCUGUCUCCUGUGCUCUCAGAUGAGGAAGCUUGAGACACAUAGAGGUUAACGGGUGAAGGACCUUGCCCAAAGUCACCUGGCCGGCAAGAGCUGAGUCAGAUUGCUACCCAGGCCUGAAAGAAACAGAGAGGUGUGGUAUCUGACCCCCGAAUCUGGAAUACACUGCAGUGCCCAGCGUCCUCUGGAUCAAAAGGCAAGUGAGCAUGUCCAUCGGCAUGAAUCAGAUUACCAGGGAUCUGUGUAUGGAUUGAACAUGAUGUCUCCAAAGUGCAUGAAAGACCACGGGGUGUCGUGUCAAUAUGCACACGUCACAGAGAACAGUUCCUGGUCCAUAUCAAGCUCUAUACAUGUGUUUGCUCCUACCGACGUCAGUAUCAGCAUCCUCAUCCUCAUCAUUACGGGAAGUAGCAUAACCAUACUAUAAUGAUAAACAGAACAACAGAUAGAAAAGUAUGAAGACAUUACCUCCCCCCAUGUCCUAAUUUUUAAAACUGCAGAGAAAAAGAACUGGAAGGCAGUAGACCACGUAUUAAGUGUUUUUCUCUUGAGUGUGAAAUUCUAGAUAAUGCCCAAAUAACCUUUUAAUGUGCUGUAUCUUCAUUGUUACAUAGCCAGUUUUUCUAUUAUAAUUUUAAAAUAGUUUUUCUGAAGACCUGUUCUCUUAGGUAUCUUGACGUUUCAGGAUUAAAAAAAAUUGUUUUGGUAUCCUUGCAAAGUGAAA